rnacentral:lncRNA from 12 species
AUCAACUUUAGUCUCAGUGUUGUUCUUUGACCUGACGUCUAUGGUAACAUUUUCAUUGGCUGGGACAUUAAAAUGCCUCAGAAUGUUCCAGACGUGACACUGCAGUUUUCAAAAUACUGUUUCAUGCAUUUAAGCAUUCACAGUAACACUCAGAGGUAAAUACGUGGAGGAAUGUCUGUAUGUAAUGUAAAGAGUUAACAGCUAUAUUUCUCCACAACAUUUCUAACAAUAAAUCAUUAUUAUCGCUUUCUCUAAACAGAAACAUUCAAUCAUUCAUUCAGUCUUUUCUUCAUGAUUCCCAGUGUCACAUUUAAAUUUAAAAUCAUGAGAACCGUCCUAGUAGCAGACCUCAUACACUGCCCCAUAUAAGACAUUAAGGAAAGGCUUAAUGGGGUGUGUCCAAAAACGUUUGAGAACCACUGCUUUAUUAUAACACCGUCUAGUGUUGGAUGGAUGUGUGUCUUCCAGCACAUAAGACUAACAGCCAAUAGUGGUUAUGGUGAUGCCUAAAUUUAUAAAAACAUUAUUAAAUUAUAAUCUGCACAUUAUCUAAUCCUCCCAUGCUACUGGUCAGUGUACAAUAUCCAGCCACAGAUUUUUAUAACACUAAAAUAAAAAUCACCUUUUGUUUGUUGUACUGAUUGGCGAUGAUUUUUUAUUUAUUUUUUAAUUGUGCACUUUUUUGUGAUUUUCCCAUGUGUUUUUAUUUUAUGUAUGUUCUGAAUAAAUACUUACUAUAUAUUAUUUAAGAGAGAUAACUCGUAAUGUUUUUCAAGUGCACGCGGACACGCCCCCUUGUUUCCGUGGAAACGUGCGCACUGCGCAGUUUCACUUUCACUUAACAACGAAGAACGGUCGAGUCUUUGCAGCAGUAUCUUAUCCUGGCGAACGCAUUUAUGCAGUCAUGGACAGUGUUAAGAUGGACGUGAAGGAAAUGGUUAUUGAAGUCAAUGAACUUCCAGACGACUACCCCAAUAAUAAAAUGAUUGACAAAUUAACCAUGCACUUUCUGAGGCCCAGAAACAACGGUGGAGAGGUUUUAAUAGUGAUAUAUCCCACCUCCAACAAAGGCCAGGCUUAUGUUGUUUUUGAUUCAGAAGGUAUGAUACUAUGCAUUGAUGUUCUGUUCUUAUACGUAUAUCUAAGUUUAAAAUCAUAUUUCAUGACUAACAUUUAUUAUUCUUUUUUUUUUUUUUUUUUAUUCAAUAUCUUAGUACUCCGAGUCUUGGACCAUAAUCAUGUUUUGGAACUGGAUGGUCAGUUUUACCCACUGGAUGUUAAAAAGAUACAUCAGCCUAAGUUUGACGUGCCAGCUGAAGCAUUCCUUGAUGUGAGCAUGUUCUACAGUCAGAAAAAGAUCCGAAAUCUUCUUCAUAGCCACGGCUUUGAUGUGUCAGAGACCAGUUCAGGACAGCUGCACUUGCAGGGAACCUUUCUUAACCUAAAACGCAUCCAUCCCAAACUCAUGCAUCUCCUUGCCCAAGAAACCCACUUGCAAAGAAGCAAACCUUCGCAAUGCACUAAUGGCUUCUCGUCUGACUCUGUCUCCAGUGAUUUUGAAUCUAGAUCUCAUUCCACAUCAAGGCACAGUCCCAAUGGCCACUCAGUGUAUGCUGCAGGCAGAAACCCACAUUCUGGAAUAAACUCAAGAUCCCAAGAGUCUCCAAACGGGCAGGCACUCAUGCAGGCUGCCUCUCCAAUGGAUGUUAGUUUAAGCACAGAGAGUUCCUUCAGCAUUCCCACCAGGAGCUAUGAGGAUUUCAGCGUAAGCGCUCGGCAGAAAAAUCCCUCAUCUCACAGGAAAACUGAGGAUUCCUUCCCUGUGGAUCCACUCGCAUUCAAAUACGUAAUGCACUUUAAGAAAGAUUUUAUCGAAAAAAUAGAAUCUGAUCACCAAACUCAUAUUAGCCAUGUAGACAAUUCAGGAGUUGUUAUGGUUAAACUUUCAGGAGUAUUCUGUGAGGAAGCAGGUAAAGAAUUGCGUGAAUUCAUGCAGAACAUCAGCUCAUCUUUACGCACGCAAGAAAUAGACCUGCAUAAACUUAACAGGAGUCAAAAAAAACACAUUACUGAGAAGGCUUUCUCAUUCCAAAAGAUCUACAAUGUUUUAAUUAGGGAGGAAAAUGAUAUUCUCAAAGUGGUGGGUUCCUCUAAAGACAGUUAUGAAGCGAUGGAAAGGCUUCUUGGACAGGAGGUUAAUAUUGCUUUGCCAAGACAUUCCGCAAGGAACUCUUUGCGACGGAGCAACUCUUUGCCAAGACAAAAAACAAGGUAUAGCGAGGAGAACCCAGACUUGGGAGGAAUUCCUGAUGCUGUGUACACUACUACUGUUAGUAGCUCCUCUGCCUCUCAUUCCCGGACUGACCCUCAAUUACAACCAGAAGAACAACAGGAAAGAGGUCGCAAGUCCUCUAAAUCCUCUGCACAAUGUGGCAGGGCACACAGCGCCUCUCGAUUACAACACAAAAAUGAAAGCAGAGUAAACCGAGAACCAUCAGCUUAUGAUAAGCAGGAUUUGACACCCCCUCAUGAAGUUCAGAUAUUUAAAAACAGGCCCAUUCCUAAAUUUAGGGCUGCUCUUACUCCUAAAAGAAAGAUCAAUUUCAAAAAAGAAGUUUAAAUUGUUAAAACAACAUUAAAACAUGAAUUCCUCAUAUAAGCACACUUUAAGACUGUAGAAUGUUGUUAGUCAGACACUUUGACACUUCUUUAAGAGAGUGGAAUGCUGCUCUGUGCUGAUAGUUCAGUUUGCUUAAUAACGUGUAUAUACAUCAGAAAAUUCUGGGUUCAGUACAAAAAAUAAAAAAUUUAAAGUGAUUGAUUGAUUACCAUGAAAAUGUAUCUCCACUUAUUUUAAAAGAAAAACAAAAUAGGGCUCAUUGGUUCAGUAUAGCCACAAGACAUGAAACAAAAUAACAUGGGCACAUAAAGUUUUUCUGUGUGAAGUUAUAUUCAAUUUUAAUACACCUAACUCAACUGUAAAAAUAUUGAAACAACACAAAUAAUAAGAACCUGGUCCGUGUACGUUUUGAUAGUUUGUUUUUUCGUUUGAAACACAAAACAAAAUAACGAGAAACCACCUGUUUUUCGUUUGUCGUUUCAAACCAAAAACAACGAAACGGUAAAAAAAAGAGCCGUUCUCCCGUUUUUGGUUCUGAAUCCAAAAACGAAAAAUGACAAAACCAAAAUCAAAUAACGGUCCGAUUUUGGUUUUUUGAAAUUCCUUUUUCCAUUUUUUCGUUUGAAGAUCUACAUUGAAAUACAGACAGGUUGGCCACGUGACCCGGAAGUAAUAGUAAAUAUGGCCUAUCAAAAUAAAAGCCAAGCUUUUAGAACGGUCAUAAUAUGCAGCGCUAACGUUAUACCAGAGUAACGUUAGAAGAAGAAAAAUCAAUUAAUAAAUAGCCUUAUAUAAACCUGGACCGGAAUAAAUAUGUUAGCAACAGUAGUGCUCCUGUAGCUCGCGAGAGCAUUGCGUUACGAAGCGCAAGGCUGGGGGUUCGAUUCCCCGGGAACACAUGAUAGGUAAAAAUUGAUAGCCUGAAUUCACUGUAAGUCGCUUUGGAUAAAAGCGUCUGCUAAAUGCAUAAAUUUAAUUUUAAUUUAAUUUUAAUUUAGUUUAUUACAGCUAUUUAAUAUCGUGCCUAUCCAGACAUCACCAGUCACGUUUAAGGAGCGCAUUGUUUGGCUCAAUACAGUUGGUAAUAUAGGUUAACCUAAGAACUUAUUGUGUGUGCAGAGUUGUUACUGUUAGCGCUAUAUUAUAUAAUUAAAUUUAUAUUUAAUGUGGUUUCCACCGUAAUGGAUAACUGUUCCCCCUUUCUACCAGCAGGUGGCAGUAUUUAAAUGACUGACUGUAUGGUGUCUUUGGUUACUGUUUUAAAGCAAGAUUACUGAUACAGAUGUAUUUAUUGUUGUUCAUUUUAUUUUGUUUUUUAUUUUAUUUGCCUAGUUAUCAUCAUCAUCAUCAUCAUUCACCCAGCCCAGAGUUAAACCUGCUUCUGUUUUAACCUGAUUAUAACACUGCUAUCAGAUUCUUAUAGCAGCUCAGACAACAAACUCACAUCAGACAUGUCCUAAUCCUAAUGUAGGCCAUCUGGCCAAAAGAAUGAUUUACCAGUGUGCUAUAUACUGUGUGAAUCUUUCUUCUCUAUACACAUUCCAGUU